AUGUGGUUUAAUUCGAAGCAGCGCGAAGAACCUUACCAAGGCCUUGACAUGCAGAGAACUUUCCAGAGAUGGAUUGGUGCCUUCGGGAACUCUGACACAGGUGCUGCAUGGCUGUCGUCAGCUCGUGUCGUGAGAUGUUGGGUUAAGUCCCGUAACGAGCGCAACCCUUGCCUUAGUUACCAGCACGUUAUGGUGGGCACUCUAAGGAGACUGCCGGUGACAAACCGGAGGAAGGUGGGGGUGACGUCAAGUCAUCAUGGCCCUUACGGCCUGGGCUACACACGUGCUACAAUGGUCGGUACAAAGGGUUGCCAAGCCGCGAGGUGGAGCUAAUCCCAUAAAACCGACCGUAGUCCGGAUCGCAGUCUGCAACUCGACUGCGUGAAGUCGGAAUCGCUAGUAAUCGUGAAUCAGAAUGUCACGGUGAAUACGUUCCCGGGCCUU
rnacentral:rRNA from 1 species